rnacentral:rRNA from 1 species
AGAGUUUGAUCCUGGCUCAGGAUGAACGCUGACAGAAUGCUUAACACAUGCAAGUCAUUGGCGAAGCUGCGCUUGCGCAGUCUAGCCAAGGCGGACGGGUGAGUAACGCGUAAGGAACUUGCCCUGCAGACAGGGAUAACAGACGGAAACGACUGAUAACACCUGGUAUUGUCAGGCUGGCGCAUGCCGGCCUGAUGAAAGGAGACGCUGCAGGAGAGCCUUGCGUCCUAUUAGCUAGUUGGUGGGGUAACGGCCCACCAAGGCGAUGAUAGGUAGCCGGCCUGAGAGGGUGGACGGCCACAAGGGGACUGAGAUACGGCCCUUACUCCUACGGGAGGCAGCAGUGGGGAAUAUUGGACAAUGGGGGCAACCCUGAUCCAGCAAUUCUGUGUGCACGAAGAAGGUUUUCGGAUUGUAAAGUGCUUUCAGCAGGGAAGAAGAAAGUGACGGUACCUGCAGAAGAAGCGACGGCUAAAUACGUGCCAGCAGCCGCGGUAAUACGUAUGUCGCGAGCGUUAUCCGGAAUUAUUGGGCAUAAAGGGCAUCUAGGCGGCCUAACAAGUCAGGGGUGAAAACCUGCGGCUCAACCGCAGGCCUGCCUUUGAAACUGUAAGGCUGGAGUACCGGAGAGGUGGACGGAACUGCACGAGUAGAGGUGAAAUUCGUAGAUAUGUGCAGGAAUGCCGAUGAUGAAGAUAGUCCACUGGACGGAAACUGACGCUGAAGUGCGAAAGCCGGGGGAGCGAACAGGAUUAGAUACCCUGGUAGUCCCGGCCGUAAACGAUGAUUACUGGGUGUGGGCAGGAAGACUGUCUGUGCCGAAGCGAAUGCGAUAAGUAAUCCGCCUGGGGAGUACGGCCGCAAGGCUGAAACUCAAAGGAAUUGACGGGGACCCGCACAAGCGGUGGAGCAUGU